GGGGGUGAUGUGUUCUGGAGCCAGAGGGCUGGAGGAGUGUCUCAUCUGCUAGAUGUGGCUGGGAAGGGUGGUUGCAGAGAAAAAUAAAUACCCCCUCGGCGUGUUUGUGGCAUUGGUUUCUUACUGCAAACACGGGGCUGAAUGGGAAGGGAAGACUGAGUUGGUGCUGUUGAACGCAGAGCUUGUGUGGCUGCACCGGCAUCUCUGACAGCAUAAUCUCCUGCCUGGUGUCAUCAUUAUGGAAACAAGCUGUAAAUCUCCCCUUGAUGUUAUGUAGAUCUGGGAUCGCUUGCCUCACGGGAACAGCCAGUGUUAAGAAAUAGGGUGUUGAACAUAAAGAUUACCAUAUUGCAAGCACUAAUGUUGGGAAGGAGCUGCCUUAGCACCGAGAGCCGCUGGUGAUGCUGGGGCUCUGCGUGGGGUUGGCUCCCAGCUCUGAGCACACCCCACACCAAAUCCUCUUUUCCCCUUCUCAUCCCUUUGCAGAGCCAUAGAACAGCAGGAGGGAAGAGUGGUGUAGAGCCAGGGGGGAUGUCAGGCAGCACGAGUUGCCGUUUGGAUGUUUUCAUUGCCGUUUUGCUGACCCAAGGACACCUUUGCUCCCAGCCCUGCCAUUUUCACACCUGCCCCCAUUUAAUAACUGCACAUCCCAGCCGGCUCUGCGGGUCGCUGCGUUUUGGGCUCGGUUGCUCCCAGUGCCUCCUCUGCUCCCAGUGCCUCCUCUGCUCCCAGUGCCUCCUCUGCUCCCAGUGCCUCCUCUGCUCCCAGUGCCUCCUCUGCUCCCAGUGCCUCCGCUCACCCUCCACGAGCCCUUUAAUCUCUGGGAAUUUACUUUUUAUUUAUUUUUUUUUCCCUCUGACAUCUCCGAGUCUCUUGUGAAAUGCAAAUUAAUUAGAUUCUAAUUACUCACUGUGUGCUGUUUCUGUUUCGCUCUCUUGUUAGGUUAGUCUAACAUCUUUGUUGUCAGCUGUAUGUUGUAUGUAUUCAGCCCAUUAAAAGUGAUCCUUGUUCAGCAGGAGACAGGCAGAGCAAAGAGACAGUUCCCCCCUCCCGCUGGGGCUUUGUCAGGAGCAGCUUUGUCAGCACUUCCCGGCAGCAUCAUAAAGGCAAACCUUGCCUUUUUUCCUUCCAAUUGUUCAUUUUCCCUCCGUCUGCGUGUGUGUUUUUUUCUAUUAUUGUUAUUUUUUAAUAACCUGGCGCGUUCAGCACUUCAAUGUGGAGUUUCAGCGGCAUCAGUUGACCCCAAUGACUCACCCUGGGGAUGCAGAGGGGUCCCAGUCCCAGGGCAGUAGAGCACUGGGACCCCUCUGCAUCCCCCAUCCCAUGGUGACCGAGGGCUCAACACAAUUCAUCCCACCAAACCCAUCAGAGAUACUCAGCUCAUCCCCCAGCACAGCAGAGUUUCCAUCUGAUUCAUGCCUGGCUAGCCCAGUAAUAGAGAUUUCCAUAAUCACAGGAACUUGGCAGAGAAUGCGUGUCACCUGGAGAUGAAUCUUCUCCCAACGCUGACAUAUAAAUGGGCGUCAUUAGACACGGGAGAUCACAGCCAAGGCGUGGGGAGCGUGGGAGCUGCUCCUCCCUGCACGGCUGGGCAUGGGGAGGGAGCUCCUAAUCGGGGAGGCGGGCGCUGAGUGCAGCUCCUCAAGGUGUCUGUUUGAUGUCUUAACGAUCGAAGGAAGCAGCGGUGCUCAUCCUGUGGCUGUGCUCAUCCUGUAGCUGGCAAUGGGGA